rnacentral:lncRNA from 1 species
UCACGGGGUGCUGGGGGGGGGGCCCUGCACUGACCCCCUCCCCCCCCCCGGGGGCACCCCACUUCCCAGGACACCCUGCCCCCGCCGGGGUCCCCCCUGUCCCAGGACCCGGCACCCACGUGGGGGCCCCUGGAGGAGCCGGGUGACGAGGGGCCGGAGAUGGCCGAGGGGACGUGGACGGCCGAGGAGGAGACGUGGAUGGUCGAGGAGGGGACGUGGACAGCCGAGGUGGGGACACAGACGGCCGAGGAGGGGACAUGGGUGGCCCAGAGAGCCCAGAUGGCCGAGGAGGGGACACAGACGAACGAGGAGGGGACAUCGAUGGCCCAGAGAGCCCAGAUGGUCGAGGUGGGGACACAGACGGCCGAGGAGGGGACACGGGGUCGAGAAGGGGAUGUGGACAGCCAAGAGAGCCCAGAUGGCCGAGGUGGGGACACAGACGAACAAGGAGGAGACAUGGAUGGCGGAGAGACCCCAAAUGGCUGAGGUGGGGACACAGAUGGCCGAGGAGGGGACAUGGACGGCCAAGAGAGCCAAGAUGGCCGAGGAGGGGACACAGACGGCCAAGGAGGGGACGUGGAUGGCCGAGAGAGCCCAGAUGGCCGAGGUGGGGACACAGACGGCCGAGGAGAAGUCAGAGAUGGCCGAGGAGGGGAUGCAGAUGGCCAAGGAGGGGACAUGGAUGGCCGAGAGAGCCCAGAUGGUCGAGGAGGGGACAUGGAUGGUGGAGAGAGCCCAGGUGGCCAAGGAGGGGACACAGACGGCCGAGGAGGGGACGUGGACGGCCGAGAGAGCCCAGGUGGCCGAGGAGGGGACACAGACAGCCGAGGAGGGGACAGAGAUGGCCAAGGAGGGGACAUGGACAGCCGAGAGAGCCCAGAUGGUCGAGGAGGGGACACAGACGGCCGAGGAGAGAACAUGGAUGGCCGAGAGAGCCCAGAUGGCCGAGGAGGGGACACAGACGGCUGAGGAGGGGAUGUGGACGGUCGAGAGAGCCCAGAUGGUCAAGGUGAUGACACAGAUGGCUGAGGAGGGGACACAGACGACCGAGGAGAGAACAUGGGUGGCCGAGAGAGCCCAAAUGGUCGAGGUGAUGACACAGACGGCUGAGGAGGGGACACAGAUGGCCAAGGAGGGGACAUGGAUGGCCAAGAGAGCCCAGAUGGCCAAGGUGGGGACACAGAUGUCCGAGGAGGAGACGUGGAUGGUUGAGAGAGCCCAGAUGGUCGAGAUGGGGACACAGACGGUCGAGGAGGGGACGUGGAUGGCUGAGAGAGCCCAGGUGGCCGAGGAGGGGACACAGACGGCCAAGGAGGGGACACGGAUGGCUGAAGAGGGGAUGGAGAUGGCCGAGUGGGCCUGGGUGGCCGAGGAGGGGACGGAGGUGGCCAAGGAGGGGACGCGGAUGUCUGAGCGGGCCCGAACCAUCUUGCGCAAGGUAACAGGGUGCCGUGGGGCAGGACUGGGGGGGGGGAACGAGACAU